GACGAACGCUGGCGGCGUGCCUAAUACAUGCAAGUUGAGCGCUGAAGGUUGGUACUUGUACCAACUGGAUGAGCAGCGAACGGGUAAGUAACGCGUGGGGAAUCUGCCUUUGAGCGGGGGACAACAUUUGGAAACGAAUGCUAAUACCGCAUAAAAACUUUAAACACAAGUUUUAAGUUUGAAAGAUGCAAUUGCAUCACUCAAAGAUGAUCCCGCGUUGUAUUAGCUAGUUGGUGAGGUAAAGGCUCACCAAGGCGAUGAUACAUAGCCGACCUGAGAGGGUGAUCGGCCACAUUGGGACUGAGACACGGCCCAAACUCCUACGGGAGGCAGCAGUAGGGAAUCUUCGGUAAUGGACGAAAGUCUGACCGAGCAACGCCGCGUGAGUGAAGAAGGUUUUCGGAUCGUAAAACUCUGUUGGUAGAGAAGAACGUUGGUGAGAGUGGAAAGCUCAUCAAGUGACGGUAACUACCCAGAAAGGGACGGCUAACUACGUG
rnacentral:rRNA from 1 species